ensembl:lncRNA
GGGGGGUCUCAUCCCAGUCCAAUAUGAGGUGGGGGGGGUCUCAUCCCAGUCCAAUGUGAGAGUGGGGGGUCUCAUCCCAGUCCAAUGUGAGGUGAGGGGGGGUCUCAUCCCAGUCCAAUGUGAGGUGGGGGGGUCUCAUCCCAGUCCAAUGUGAGGUGGGGGGGUAUCAUCCCAGUCCAAUGUGAGGUGGGUGGGGGUCUCAUCCCAGUCCAAUGUGAGGUGGGGGGGGGGCAAGUCUCAUCCCAGUCCAAUGUGAGGUGGGGGAGUCUCAUCCCAGUCCAAUGUGAGGUGGGGGGGUCUCAUCCCAGUCCAAUGUGAGGUGAGGCGGUCUCGUCCCAGUCCAAUGUCAGGUGGGGGUCUCGUCCCAGUCUAAUGUGAGGUGGGGGG